rnacentral:rRNA from 1 species
CCUACGGGAGGCAGCAGUGGGGAAUAUUGGGCAAUGGAGGCAACUCUGACCCAGCAACGCCGCGUGAAUGAUGAAGGUCUUCGGAUUGUAAAGUUCUGUGAUGGGGGAUGAACACAAUGACGGUACCCCAAUAGCAAGCCACGGCUAACUACGUGCCAGCAGCCGCGGUAAUACGUAGGUGGCAAGCGUUAUCCGGAAUGACUGGGCGUAAAGGGUGCGUAGGUGGUUUAGUAAGUUGGCGGUGUAAUUCCGGGGCUCAACCUCGGCGCUACCGCCAAAACUAUUAGACUAGAGUGCAGGAGGGG